UACGUAGGGGGCUAGCGUUAUCCGGAAUGAUUGGGCGUAAAGCGUCCGCAGGUGGCUAUGUAAGUCUGCUGUUAAAGAGUGAGGCUCAACCUCAUAAGAGCAGUGGAAACUACAUGGCUAGAGUGCGUUCGGGGCAGAGGGAAUUCCUGGUGUAGCGGUGAAAUGCGUAGAGAUCAGGAAGAACACCGGUGGCGAAGGCGCUCUGCUAGGCCGUAACUGACACUGAGGGACGAAAGCUAGGGGAGCGAAUGGG
rnacentral:rRNA from 1 species